UACGUAGGGUGCGAGCGUUUAAUCGGAAUUACUGGGCGUAAAGCGUGCGCAGGCGGUUCGCCAAGUCAGGUGUGAAAUCCCCGGGCUUAACCUGGGAAUUGCGCUCGAUACUGUUGAGCUAGAGUGUGGAAGGGGCUACUGGAAUUCCGGUGUGUAGCGGUGAAAUGCGUAGAUAUAACGGAGGAACACCAGCGGCGAAGGCGGGGUAGCUGGGCCAACACUGACGCUGAGACGCGAAAGCUAGGGGAGCAAACGGG
rnacentral:rRNA from 1 species